UACGGGAGGCAGCAGUGGGGAAUAUUGCACAAUGGGCGCAAGCCUGAUGCAGCCAUGCCGCGUGUAUGAAGAAGGCCUUCGGGUUGUAAAGUACUUUCAGUCGUGAGGAAGGUGUUAAGGUUAAUAACCUUAGCAAUUGACGUUAGCGACAGAAGAAGCACCGGCUAACUCCGUGCCAGCAGCCGCGGUAAUACGGAGGGUGCGAGCGUUAAUCGGAAUUACUGGGCGUAAAGGGCACGCAGGCGGUUAAUUAAGUUGGAUGUGAAAUCCCCGGGCUUAACCUGGGAAUGGCAUUCAAGACUGGUUAGCUAGAGUCUUGUAGAGGGGGUAGAAUUCCGAUGUGUAGCGGUGAAAUGCGUAGAGAUGUGGAGGAAUACCGGUGCGAAGGCGGCCCCUGGGACAAGACUGACGCUCAUGUGCGAAAGCGUGGGGAGCAAACAGGAUUAGAUACC
rnacentral:rRNA from 1 species